rnacentral:rRNA from 1 species
GGCUGGUCGUGAGAGGGAUGAUCAGCCACACUGGGACUGAGACACGGCCCAGACUCCUACGGGAGGCAGCAGUGGGGAAUAUUGGACAAUGGGCGAAAGCCUGAUCCAGCCAUGCCGCGUGAGUGAUGAAGGCCCUCGGGUCGUAAAGCUCUGUGGAGAGGGAAGAAUUUCUGCAGCAUCAGAUCCUGCAGGUUGACGGUACCUCUUUAGCAAGCACCGGCUAACUCCGUGCCAGCAGCCGCGGUAA